AGUAGAGUGGCGCAAGGGUGCGUAACGCGUAAGUAACUUGCCCAAGUAAGGAAUAACGUCGAGAAAUCGGCGCUAAUACCUCAUAAUGCAGCGGAUCCGCAUGGAUAUGUUGUUAAAGGUUUACCGCCUUGGGAUAGGCUUGCGUCUGAUUAGUUAGUUGGUGUGGUAACGGCACACCAAGGCUACGAUCAGUAACUGGUCUGAGAGGAUGAUCAGUCACACUGGAACUGAGACACGGUCCAGACUCCUACGGGAGGCAGCAGUGAGGAAUAUUGGGCAAUGCUCGAAAGAGUGACCCAGCAACGCCGCGUGGAGGAUGAAGGUAUUCUAUAUCGUAAACUCCUGUGAGAGCAGACGAAAGACAGAUUAUUAAUCUGGAUGACUGUAUGCUCAGAGGAAGCCCCGGCUAACUACGUG
rnacentral:rRNA from 1 species